AUUCCUGCUAAAAUAUGUUUCACAGUUAUCCUGUAAUUGGUGGUUUUUGGCGCCCCCUACUGGUUACCUAUAAAUUGGAUGAGAAACCAAAAAUUCCACACAGUUGGUUCAGCGCUCUGUUGUGAGCCAUAGGUUGACCGGUAGAGAGGCUCACUGCGCCAUAUGUGUUUUAUCAACCACUGAUUACAGAUUGCAAUAAAUCAUCUAAAAACCAA